rnacentral:lncRNA from 1 species
UGAUUUUACUUGCAUGAAUAAAGCAAACUAUGGAAAUCAGAUCAUUCUAACACCAACAAAUUUAAACAAUCAUGAUUAUAUUGAAAAGAAAAUACUUAUUUGAAAUCUUGUUUAUGAAUUGAACAAAAACAAAGAUAAAAAGGGAAGAAGAAACUCUAGCUGAUUCUGGACUUUCCCGAGGCAUAAACUGCUUGCUCAUUCCUUAAUUCUUCUAUCUUGCUGUCACAACUAAGCCAAAGUUCCCUCAAUAUAGCUGAAAUAUGGCUACUGUCACAACCAUGCAAAGCUCUUUUUCAAGAGGAAGAAAUAGGGAAUGAAAAAGGAAGAAAAGAGAACUCAAGUGGAGAGGAAAUGAAAAGAG